UGGGGAAUAUUGCACAAUGGGGGAAACCCUGAUGCAGCAACGCCGCGUGGAGGAAGAAGCAUUUAGGUGUGUAAACUCCUUUUAUCAAGGAAGAAGAUGACGGUACUUGAUGAAUAAGCACCGGCUAACUCCGUGCCAGCAGCCGCGGUAAUA
rnacentral:rRNA from 1 species